rnacentral:rRNA from 1 species
GAUGAACGCUAGCGGCAGGCUUAACACAUGCAAGUCGAGGGGCAGCACGAAGAAGUAGCAAUACGGAUUUGGUGGCGACCGGCGCACGGGUGCGUAACGCGUAUGCAACCUACCUAUUAUAUGGGAAUAACCCGGAGAAAUUCGGACUAAUACCCAGUAUGCUUUCGGAAGGCAUCUUUUGAAAGUAAGAGAUUUAUCGAUAAUAGUUGGGCAUGCGUGAAAUUAGCUAGUUGGUGAGGUAACGGCUCACCAAGGCGACGAUGACUAGGGGUUCUGAGAGGAAGGUCCCCCACACUGGUACUGAGACACGGACCAGACUCCUACGGGAGGCAGCAGUGAGGAAUAUUGGUCAAUGGACGCAAGUCUGAACCAGCCAUGCCGCGUGCAGGAUGACGGCUCUAUGAGUUGUAAACUGCUUUUGUAUGAGGGUAAAGUUAGGUACGUGUACCUAUUUGAAAGUAUCAUACGAAUAAGGAUCGGCUAACUCCGUGCCAGCCGCCGCCGUAACAC